UCCUUAGAUGUUCUGGGCCGCACGCGCGCUACACUGAUAAUGUCAACAAGCUUUACCUUGGCCGAUAGGUCUGGGCAAUCUUCGAACUAUUAUCGUGAUGGGGCUAGAUUAUUGCAACUAUUAAUCUUAAACGAGGAAUUCCUAGUAAGCGCGAGUCAUCAGCUCGCGUUGAUUACGUCCCUGCCCUUUGUACACACCGCCCGUCGCUCCUACCGAUUGGAUUGGCUGGUGAAGCGUUCGGAUUGUGGGUUCGGAGCGGUUCGCCGUUCUGGGCUUGCGAGAAGUUCGUUAAACCCUCCUAUCUAGAGGAAGGAGAAGUCGUAACA
rnacentral:rRNA from 1 species